rnacentral:tRNA from 1 species
GUCAACAUAGUUUAACCAAAACCCUAGGCUGUGAUCCUAGAAAUGGGGGUUAAAAACCCCCUGUUUACC